rnacentral:rRNA from 1 species
AUUGAACGCUGGCGGCGUGCUUUACACAUGCAAGUCGGACGGCAGCACAGAGAAGCUUGCUUCUUGGGUGGCGAGUGGCGAACGGGUGAGUAAUAUAUCGGAACGUACCGAGUAAUGGGGGAUAACUAAUCGAAAGAUUAGCUAAUACCGCAUAUUCUCUGAGGAGGAAAGCAGGGGACCUUCGGGCCUUGCGUUAUUCGAGCGGCCGAUAUCUGAUUAGCUAGUUGGUGGGGUAAAGGCCUACCAAGGCGACGAUCAGUAGCGGGUCUGAGAGGAUGAUCCGCCACACUGGGACUGAGACACGGCCCAGACUCCUACGGGAGGCAGCAGUGGGGAAUUUUGGACAAUGGGCGCAAGCCUGAUCCAGCCAUGCCGCGUGUCUGAAGAAGGCCUUCGGGUUGUAAAGGACUUUUGUCAGGGAAGAAAAGGCUGUUGCUAAUAUCAAUAGCUGAUGACGGUACCUGAAGAAUAAGCACCGGCUAACUACGUG